CAUUCCCAAAUACAAAAAUGUCUCUAUUCUUAUUUGUAGUUCGUUUUUGAACGUAUGUAUAUGCCGCGGAUAAUAUCCAUAACCUACUUAUCAUUUUUAUAUCACACUUUUUUUUUAAGUUUCUCAAUUUCUCAAACUCUCUCUGUUUCUUCUUCUUCUUCUUCUUCUUCAUAAUGCGAACCCUAAUUCCCAUCUUCAAAGCUUAAAAUAAUCCACCCACCAAACACCAUCUCCACUGGAUCCGACAUUGAUGAUGACGUCAUCGCUACCUGUCCGAGCUCCGUCAUGGGUCUCAUCCCGGAGAAUCUUCGAAGAGAGACUCCAAGAGCUUCCCAAGUGCGCUAACUUAAGCCAAGUGAAGCAGCUUCACGCCCAGAUCAUUCGGCGGAACCUUCACCAAGAUCUUCACAUAGCACCGAAGCUAAUCUCUGCUCUUUCUCUCUGCCGUCAAACCGGUUUAGCUCUUAGGGUUUUCAAUCAGGUUUCAGAACCAAACGUUCAUCUUUGCAAUUCGCUGAUUAGAGCUCACGCGUUGAACUCGCAGCCGUACCAAGCUUUCUUCGUUUUCUCUGAGAUGCAAAGAUUUGGUCUUUUCGCUGAUAAUUUCACUUACCCUUUUCUUCUCAAAGCUUGUUCGGGUCAAUCAUGGCUACCUGUGGUGAAGAUGAUGCACAGUCAUAUCGAAAAAUUGGGGCUUUCGUCUGAUAUCUAUGUUCCCAAUGCUCUCAUUGAUUGUUAUUCUAGAUGUGGUGGUUUGGGUGUUAGAGAGGCUAUGAAGUUGUUUGAAAAGAUGGGUGAGAGAGAUACUGUGUCUUGGAACUCGAUGCUUGGUGGAUUGGUGAAAGCAGGGGAACUGAGAGAUGCUCGCCAGUUGUUCGAUGAAAUGCCUCAAAGGGAUUUGAUUAGUUGGAACACUAUGUUGGAUGGGUAUGCUAGGUGUAGAGAGAUGAGUAAAGCCUUUGAGUUGUUUGAGAAGAUGCCUGAGAGGAAUACUGUGUCUUGGUCUACGAUGGUUAUGGGUUAUAGUAAAGCUGGAGAUAUGGAAAUGGCUAAAAUUAUGUUUGAUAAGAUGCCAUUGCCGGCUAAAAAUGUGGUCACUUGGACGAUAAUUAUUGCCGGAUAUGCGGAAAAGGGGCUUGUGAAGGAGGCUGAUAAAUUAGUCGACCAAAUGGUGGCUUCAGGAUUGAGAUUUGAUGCUGCAGCUGCUAUUAGUAUCUUAGCUGCUUGUGCUGAGUCUGGUUUGCUCAGUUUAGGAGUGAGGGUUCAUUCCAUAAUCAAAAGGUCUAACCUCAAUUCGAAUGCGUCUGUUUUAAAUGCACUACUUGAUAUGUAUGCAAAAUGUGGUAGCCUAGAAAAAGCGUUUGAUGUGUUUAACAACAUGCCCAAGAAGGACCUCGUCUCUUGGAACACUAUGCUUCAUGGUCUUGGUGUUCAUGGUCACGGUAAGGAAGCAAUUGAGCUUUUUUCGAGAAUGAGGAGGGAAGGGAUUCGGCCUGAUAAAGUCACAUUUAUUGCUGUUUUGUGUUCCUGCAAUCACGCUGGUCUCAUUGAUGAAGGCGUAGAUUACUUCUACUCGAUGGAGAAAGUGUAUGAUCUUGUUCCACAAGUUGAACACUACGGUUGUCUUGUUGACCUAUUAGGUCGAGGGGGAAGGUUAAAGGAAGCUGUUAAAGUUGUCCAAACAAUGCCUAUGAAACCCAAUGUUGUUAUCUGGGGUGCUCUUCUUGGAGCGUGCAGGAUGCAUAAUAAUGUGGAUCUUGCUAAGGAAAUCCUGGAUCCGCUGGUUAAGUUAGACUCUUCUGAUCCGGGAAACUAUACGCUGCUGUCAAAUAUUUAUGCAGCAGCAGAGGAUUGGGCAGGGGUUGCUGACAUAAGGUCAAAGAUGAAGAGUAUGGGAGUAGAGAAACCAUCUGGAGCUAGUUCGGUUGAAUUGGAGGAUGGGAUACACGAAUUUACAGUGUUUGACAAGUCACACCCAAAAUCUGAUCAAAUAUAUCAGAUGCUUGGUAGUCUAAAUGAACCUCCAGAUACCGGUGAGCUAGUUGCUGUCGGAUAAAUUGCUUAGUUUAUUAUGUUCACAAUACAAGGAUUUCGUCAAAGCCACAUUGUCAAGAUCUUUAGAGAUGGAGCUUCUGGAUCUUAGUUCCACAGAAGGUUCUUUGAUCAACCUUGUAGACGACAAGUAACAAGAGAAGAUCAUGCAGGAAAAAAAAGACAUUCAAACUCCAACGUAACCUCACUGAGUGGGUAAGUAACUGCAGAGGCAAACCUUGAGUGGCCACUAGGCAUACACAUCACCAGAAAAAGAUGAUA